AGCUAAGAAAAACUAUUCCUAGUCAAUACGGCAUGAGAACCCAAUUCUUGGCCUGCUUGAUCUGCCCAUUCCUUACAAUAUACCAAAAUAUACCCAUCAUGUGUUUUAGAGCCCCCUUUGGAAUUCUGAAGCCGAAAUUACCAACCCUUCUCUGGACAGACAUUUUUUGUUGUGGGGAUGUGCAUUUUACCGAAUAUUCGAACAUCAAUUUGCAAAGUACCCAGCUAGCACAAUAGCAGCAUCGAGUAUAGCCGCUUCAAUGAGUGGGCUAAAAUGGCAUCUACGCACAGGCCAUAAUCUUCCCUUUUUAUUAGGUCUACUUUCGGACUUAACCAGCAUCGAACAAGUUCAACUGCAAGAGUGUAUGUUGCAUAUGGAGACCAUUUUUGACAUUGAACCUCCUAACUCUGCAAAAAUGUACUGCCAGAGACGUUAUCAGACUCAUCCAAACCAGCAAUAUCAUCAGCAGCGCCCGCAACGCAUGAGGCAAAUGCCAAUACCCUCCUUAACAUUUACUACUGCUGACGCCAACGCUGAUCAAAAUUGCUUUAAGGCUACCCUACCCUAUCGGACGCAAA